rnacentral:rRNA from 1 species
CCUACGGGUGGCAGCAGUGAGGAAUAUUGGUCAAUGGCCGAGAGGCUGAACCAGCCAUGCCGCGUGCAGGAAGACGGCUCUAUGAGUUGUAAACUGCUUUUGUACGAAGGUAAACGCAGAUACGCGUAUCUGUCUGAAAGUAUCGUACGAAUAAGGAUCGGCUAACUCCGUGCCAUCAGCCGCGGUACUACGGAGGAUUCAAGCGUUAUCCGGAUUUAUUGGGUUUAAAGGGUGCGUAGGCGGUCGGAUAAGUUAGAGGUGAAAUCCCGAGGCUCAACUUCGGAAUUGCCUCUGAUACUGUUCGGCGAGAGAGUAGUUGCGGUAGGCGGAAUGUAUGGUGUAGCGGUGAAAUGCUUAGAGAUCAUACAGAACACCGAUUGCGAAGGCAGCUUACCAAGCUACUUCUGACGUUGAGGCACGAAAGCGUGGGGAGCAAACAGGAUUAGAUACCCCAGUAGUC